CCUACGGUGGGCUGCAGUGGGGAAUAUUGCACAAUGGGGGAAACCCUGAUGCAGCGACGCCGCGUGAGUGAAGAAGUAUUUCGGUAUGUAAAGCUCUAUCAGCAGGGAAGAAGCAAGACGGUACCUGACUAAGAAGCCCCGGCUAACUACGUGCCAGCAGCCGCGGUAAUACGUAGGGGGCAAGCGUUAUCCGGAUUUACUGGGUGUAAAGGGAGCGUAGACGGUAUGGCAAGUCUGAAGUGAAAGCCCAGGGCUUAACCCUGGGACUGCUUUGGAAACUGUUAGACUAGAGUGCUGGAGAGGUAAGUGGAAUUCCUAGUGUAGCGGUGAAAUGCGUAGAUAUUAGGAGGAACACCAGUGGCGAAGGCGGGUUCCUGGACAUUAACUGACGCUGAGGCACGAAGGCCAGGGGAGCGAAAGGGAUUAGAUACCCUAGUAGUC
rnacentral:rRNA from 1 species